AUUGAACGCUGGCGGCAGGCCUAACACAUGCAAGUCGAACGCGUGGCGGACGGGUGAGUAAUGCCUGGGAAACUGCCUGAUGGAGGGGGAUAACUACUGGAAACGGUAGCUAAUACCGCAUACCAUCGGAUGUGCCCAGAUGGGAUUAGCUAGUAGGUGUGGUAAAGGCUCAUCUAGGCGACGAUCCCUAGCCGGUCUGAGAGGAUGACCAGCCACACUGGAACUGAGCCACGGUCCAGACCCCUACGGGAGGCAGAAGUGGGGAAUAUUGCACAAGGGGCGCAAGCCUGAUGCAGCCAUGCCGCGUGGAUGAAGAAGGCCUUCGGGUUGGAAAGUACUUUCAGCGGGGAGGCGUUACCCGCAGAAGAAGCACCGGCUAACUCCGUGCCAGCCGCCGCGGUAAUAC
rnacentral:rRNA from 1 species